UACGAAGGGGGCUAGCGUUGCUCGGAAUCACUGGGCGUAAAGGGUGCGUAGGCGGGUCUUUAAGUCAGGGGUGAAAUCCUGGAGCUCAACUCCAGAACUGCCUUUGAUACUGAAGACCUUGAGUUCGGGAGAGGUGAGUGGAACUGCGAGUGUAGAGGUGAAAUUCGUAGAUAUUCGCAAGAACACCAGUGGCGAAGGCGGCUCACUGGCCCG
rnacentral:rRNA from 1 species